AUUGAACGCUGGCGGCAGGCCUAACACAUGCAAGUCGAGCGAGCGGCGGACGGGUGUGUAAUGUAUGGGGACUGCCCGAUAGAGGGGGAUAACUACUGUAAACGGUAGCUAAUACCGCAUACUAUCGGAUAACCCAUAGGGGAUUAGCUAUUAGGUGAGGUAAUGGCUCACCUAGGCGACGAUCCCUAGCUGGUCUGAGAGGAUGAUUAGCCACACUGGGACGGAUACACGGCCCAGGCUCCUAGGGAGGACGCAGUGGGGAAUAGUGCACAAUGGGCGCAAUCCUGAUGCAGCAAUGCCGCGUGUAUGAAGAAGGCCCUAGAGUUGUAAAGUACUUUCAGUCGGGAAGCGUUACCGACAGAAGAAGCACCGGCUAACUCCGUGCCAGCAGCCGCGGUAAUAC
rnacentral:rRNA from 1 species